UCAUCCUGGUAAUGGUAAUGGGACGAUGAAACCUGAAGCAAAUGUCGCCUCUGCUUCAAAGCCCAAAUCGAAGAAGAAGUGGAAGAACACCAAGAAGCGAACAAAAGUCAUGAAAAAGACUGCUCCUUCUGGUGAUGCUACACUUAAAGGAAAGUGUUUCCACUGCAAUGAAAAAGGCCAUUGGAAACCCCAAUGUCCUAAACUUCUUGCAAAGAAACAAGGCCAAGCUACUUGAACUCAAUUGAGUUGGAUCAGCAAGCUGGACCAAGGGUGAAAUCGUCCAGAUGAAGAUGAAGCUCUUCAAUUUAUUUUUUGAAUUAAUUGUUUUAGUUUAAAGACAAUUUGGAUUUCAAAUUUUAGUUAGGGAUAUUUAUCCCUGUUUCUCUCAUAUUGUUGCAAUAUUUUUUUAUUAUUAAUAAAGUUUAUUUUUUCGAAA